CUAAUAGAAUCCUAAAUAAACUUCAAUUAAAUCUUAAUAAUACUAAUUAAGUUUUAAUCAAAUUCAAAAUAAAUCUUAAAGAAAUUACAAAAAAAACAUCAAGAAAUCUUAAAGAACUUCUAAAGAUAUUAUAAAGAAAUCAUAAAGAAAUAAUAAGUAGAUCUUAAAGAAACUCUAAAAAAAUUCAAAAGAAAUCCUUAAGAAAUCCAAAAGAAAUCCUAAAUGAAGAAAAAUUAGAGAAAUCUUAAAUAAAACUAAAAUAAAUCUUAAUCAAAUCCUAAUUUAAUCUUAAUUAAAAUUCUAACGGAUCUUAACUAAAUCCUAGGUCAUAUUCUAAUUAAAUCUUAAAUCUUAAAUCAAAUCUUAAACAAAUCCUAAAUCUUAAAUAAAAACUUGGACAAAUCCUAAAUCAAACAAAUCUUAGAUAAAUCCUAAAUUCUAAACCAAACCUUAGCCAAAUCCUAGACAAAUCCAAAAUCUUAAAUCAAAUUUUAGACAAAUCCUAAAUCCUAAACCAAAUUCUAAACAAACUCUAAGGUCUUAACAAACCCUAAAUUCUAAAUCAAAACUUGGACAAAUUCUAAGUCCUAAACAAACUCUAAACCUUAAAUCAAAUCCUAGACAGAUCCUAAAUUAUAAAUUAAAGCCAAAAUAAAUCUUAAAUCUUAAACUAUAUUUUAGAUAAAUCCUAAAUUUUAAACCAAAUCAAAGACAAAUUCUA
rnacentral:lncRNA from 1 species